rnacentral:rRNA from 1 species
GUGUCAGCCGCCGCGGUAAGACGAACCGUGCGAACGUUAUUCGGAAUCACUGGGCUUAAAGCGCGUGUAGGCGGGCCGGCGCGUCGGAUGCUGAAAGCCCCCGGCUCAACCGGGGAACGGGCACCGAUACGGCCGGCCUGGAGGGGGGUAGGGGGAGCCGGAACUCACGGUGGAGCGGUGAAAUGCGUUGAGAUCGUGAGGAACGCCCGUGGCGAAAGCGGGCUCCUGGACCCCGCCUGACGCUGAGACGCGAAAGCCAGGGGAGCGAACGGGAUUAGAUACCCUAGUAGUCC